rnacentral:rRNA from 1 species
AUUGAACGCUGGCGGCAUGCCUUACACAUGCAAGUCGAACGGUAACAGGUCUUCGGAUGCUGACGAGUGGCGAACGGGUGAGUAAUACAUCGGAACGUGCCUAGUAGUGGGGGAUAACUACUCGAAAGAGUGGCUAAUACCGCAUGAGAUCUACGGGUGAAAGCAGGGGAUCGCAAGACCUUGUGCUACUAGAGCGGCCGAUGGCAGAUUAGGUAGUUGGUGGGAUAAAAGCUUACCAAGCCGACGAUCUGUAGCUGGUCUGCGAGGACGAUCAGCCACACUGGGACAGAGACACGGCCCAGACUCCUACGGGAGGCAGCAGUGGGGAAUUUUGGACAAUGGGCGCAAGCCUGAUCCAGCAAUGCCGCGUGCAGGAUGAAGGCCUUCGGGUUGUAAACUGCUUUUGUACGAAACGAAAAGCCCUGGGUUAAUACCCUGGGGUCAUGACGGUACCGUAAGAAUAAGCACCGGCUAACUACGUGCCAGCCGCCGCAGUAA